GUCAGUCUUUCCCCUUCUUGUUUGGUUGUCCAACCAUUUGCUAAGACUCCAUUUUUCCUUCUCUUCUGGAAAAGAAACAAAGCAUGCCAGAGAUGAAGGACAUGGGCAGCCACUGGUAGGGAAUGCUUUGUUUAUCAAAGGAACACAACAGGCCAUCAGCUGUAAGCAAACAGACUUUUGAACACGAAGAACAUAUAUCUACUAAUCCAGGAAGUUUCCUGUGUACCCGGCACAAUUCUAAAAGACCCCUUGUGUUUGAAAUGUGAAGAAUAGGUUUUAAAGCUCCCUUUUAUUAUGCUUUCCUUUCAUUCAUUGAAGACAUCAAAGAAGUGAGCCACCAGUGUACCUGAUCUACUUGGAGAACUAGUAAGGGCGUUCUAAAGAAACGGGGAUAUUGGGAGCCAGACACCCCUGCGGACAAGCAAGUUCAAAGGGAAUAUUUCAACAAUGAUUACAUUUUGUAAAUCUUUUUUCUUCUCUCCUGCACGAAAGACAGCUUAUUUCCUGCUUUUUCAUGAAAAAUAGAUUGUGCCCAUUAAAGUAAGCUUGUGGAAUGGAAGUUACUUGAGAGCUGAAGUACAGCAAGGGGAUUAAGUGGAAAGCAAGAUGAAAUCUUUCAGAGACUUCCAAAGUGUUGCUUGCUAUUUUGUUGUAAGACAUCAAGGUUUUCUUAGUGGAAUACAAAUGCCCCGUCUCUACCUACCGGUACUUUGUUGGCAACGCUAAAGCAUGCAUAAAACGUAGGUUCCACCACCCUGAUAUUCUACAUAGUAGAGAUUAGUGUACUAAAAAUCUACUUGAUAUCCUGAAAGUACACAGUUAGUAUAUUUUAAAUAUCUGUAGUAGCUUUUCUCCACCUUUUAUUAUUUCUUGAAAGGUUUUCAGAUUUUUUUCUACAGUAAAAGAAUUCCCUCCUCCUUCCUGCCCAAUUAUACUGUUGAAUACACCAGUCGGCAUAUUCCAAAAGACUUCUGCAGGAAUUUAGCCGGGACACAGAAGAUGGCACAAUGAGAUAGUGAACUUGCCAACAUUUUGCGGAUCCAUUACGCUGGUAGUUUAAUGACAAAUUCGUAUUUGAUGAAGACGUGGAUGUGUAUCAUUAAUCAGAAAGAGAAAAGUCACAAUUUGAAAGAUAAGAUGUGUCUGUCUAUAUCGCUGGAAUUGGCCCUGGCUUUCUGAGGAUGUAUUAAAUAUGGAUGAUACUUUAUGACCUGUAUGAUGUCUGUUGUCAAUCUUUUACAUGCAACUCAAUUUAAAAUUGAAUGUGCUUUUAAUUAUAUAUAUAAAUGAAGGCUUGAUUUGAGCUAAAUAGAAGUAUUACAGGCCAUCACAUGUACAGUACAAAUACAUUCCUCCAUGUUUGCGAGUCCAGACAUGCUUUACGUGACAGUUUUGUUUUGCUAUCUAUACAUGUAUACAAGGGGAAAUAUGUUCAAGACAUGCUUUGGAUAUAUGCCAGGGAACCCUGGCCAAACACAGCUCCCCUGACAUAUGUCCGUCACCUGCUUCUGAGAGUUGGAAAUGUGUCUUCCCUUCACACUUUCCGUGUUUUAUGAAAGUCUGGGAUAUAAAACUACCUCUUCCCUCCUUCCCUUUCCCCCCUCUUUUAACUCCCCUUUUUUUUGCAACAGAAUUGUACUCAGAACAAAAUGGUUUCCUGCUGUACCUGGCAAAGCUUUAUGUCCAGUCCCAUUGGAAUGUAUUUAAAAGUUCAAGUUCAGAUAUAAACCAAAUAAAAUGCUCCUUGGGAGCCUAGAGCCAGCCUUCAUUUACAUGUGAUCUCUCUGAACUUCUCUUGUGCUAGCUUGCUCUGUUUCCAGGGCCCACCAAAGGAAUGUUCUGCAGUUACAGCCUGCAGUGCUUUCUCAGGCAUUUGAGACCCAGAGGCACAAGUUUCAAGCUGGAGUUAUUAAAAGUUUCCACUUAUCUAAAGCAGUCAGAAAAGGAGGG